rnacentral:rRNA from 1 species
GGAUGAACGCUGGCGGCGUGCUUAACACAUGCAAGUCGAACGAAGAUAUUUAAAAUGAGAGCUUCGGCAGGAUUUUUAUCUAUCUUAGUGGCGGACGGGUGAGUAACGUGUGGGCAACCUGCCCUGUACUGGGGAAUAAUCAUUGGAAACGAUGACUAAUACCGCAUGUGGUCCUUGGAAGGCAUCUUCUGAGGAAGAAAGGAUUUAUUCGGUACAGGAUGGGCCCGCAUCUGAUUAGCUAGUUGGUGAGAUAACAGCCCACCAAGGCGACGAUCAGUAGCCGACCUGAGAGGGUGAUCGGCCACAUUGGGACUGAGACACGGCCCAAACUCCUACGGGAGGCAGCAGUGGGGAAUAUUGCACAAUGGGCGAAAGCCUGAUGCAGCAACGCCGCGUGAAGGAUGAAGGGUUUCGGCUCGUAAACUUCUAUCAAUAGGGAAGAAAGAAAUGACGGUACCUAAAUAAGAAGCCCCGGCUAACUACGUGCCAGCAGCCGCGGUAAUACGUAGGGGGCAAGCGUUAUCCGGAAUUACUGGGUGUAAAGGGAGCGUAGGCGGCAUGGUAAGCCAGAUGUGAAAGCCUUGGGCUUAACCCGAGGAUUGCAUUUUGGAACUAUCAAGCUAGAGUACAGGAGAGGAAAGCGGAAUUCCUAGUGUAGCGGUGAAAUGCGUAGAUAUUAGGAAGAACACCAGUGGCGAAGGCGGCUUUCUGGACUGAAACUGACGCUGAGGCUCGAAAGCGUGGGGAGCAAACAGGAUUAGAUACCCUGGUAGUCCACGCCGUAAACGAUGAGUGCUAGGUGUCGGGGAGGAAUCCUCGGUGCCGCAGCUAACGCAAUAAGCACUCCACCUGGGGAGUACGACCGCAAGGUUGAAACUCAAAGGAAUUGACGGGGGCCCGCACAAGCGGUGGAGCAUGUGGUUUAAUUCGAAGCAACGCGAAGAACCUUACCAAGGCUUGACAUCCCGAUGACCGUCCUAGAGAUAGGACUUCUCUUCGGAGCAUCGGUGACAGGUGGUGCAUGGUUGUCGUCAGCUCGUGUCGUGAGAUGUUGGGUUAAGUCCCGCAACGAGCGCAACCCUUAUCUUCAGUAGCCAUCAUCCAGUUGGGCACUCUGGAGAGACUGCCGUGGAUAACACGGAGGAAGGUGGGGAUGACGUCAAAUCAUCAUGCCCCUUAUGUCUUGGGCUACACACGUGCUACAAUGGCUGGUAACAAAGUGACGCAAGACGGCGACGUUAAGCAAAUCACAAAAACCCAGUCCCAGUUCGGAUUGUAGUCUGCAACUCGACUACAUGAAGCUGGAAUCGCUAGUAAUCGCGAAUCAGCAUGUCGCGGUGAAUACGUUCCCGGGCCUUGUACACACCGCCCGUCACACCAUGGGAGUUGGAAGCACCCGAAGUCGGUGACCUAACCGUAAGGAAGGAGCCGCCGAAGGUGAAGCC